CCUACGGGAGGCAGCAGUGAGGAAUAUUGGUCAAUGGACGAGAGUCUGAACCAGCCAAGUAGCGUGAAGGAUGACUGCCCUAUGGGUUGUAAACUUCUUUUAUAAAGGAAUAAAACGAGGCACGUGUGCCUUUUUGCAUGGACGUUAUGAAUAAGGAGCGGCUAACUCCGUGCCAGCAGCCGCGGUAAUACGGAGGAUCCGAGCGUUAUCCGGAGUUAUUGGGUUUAAAGGGAGCGUAGAGGGGUUGUUAAGUCAGUUGUGAAAGUUUGCGGCUCAACCGUAAAAUUGCACUUGAUACUGGCAGUCUUGAGUACCGUUGCGGUAGGCGGACUUCGUGUUGUAGCUG
rnacentral:rRNA from 1 species